rnacentral:rRNA from 1 species
GAUGAACGCUGGCGGCGUGCCUAAUACAUGCAAGUCGAGCGAACAGAUGAGGAGCUUGCUCCUCUGACGUUAGCGGCGGACGGGUGAGUAACACGUGGAUAACCUACCUAUAAGACUGGGAUAACUUCGGGAAACCGGAGCUAAUACCGGAUAAUAUAUUGAACCGCAUGGUUCAAUAGUGAAAGACGGUUUUGCUCUCACUUAUAGAUGGAUCCGCGCCGCAUUAGCUAGUUGGUAAGGUAACGGCUUACCAAGGCAACGAUGCGUAGCCGACCUGAGAGGGUGAUCGGCCACACUGGAACUGAGACACGGUCCAGACUCCUACGGGAGGCAGCAGUAGGGAAUCUUCCGCAAUGGGCGAAAGCCUGACGGAGCAACGCCGCGUGAGUGAUGAAGGUCUUCGGAUCGUAAAACUCUGUUAUUAGGGAAGAACAAAUGUGUAAGUAACUAUGCACGUCUUGACGGUACCUAAUCAGAAAGCCACGGCUAACUACGUG